rnacentral:rRNA from 1 species
UACGGAGGGUGCAAGCGUUAUCCGGAUUCACUGGGUUUAAAGGGUGCGUAGGUGGAUUGGUAAGUCAGUGGUGAAAUCUCCGGGCUUAACCCGGAAAGGUCAGCCGAUACUGCGGGGCUAGAGUGCAGAAGGGGCAACUGGAAUUCUCGGUGUAGCGGUGAAAUGCGUAGAUAUCGAGAGGAACACCUGCGGCGAAGGCGGGUUGCUGGGCCAACACUGACGCUGAUGCGCGAAAGCCAGGGGAGCGAACGGG